GGAGGGGUGGCCGAGCGGUUGAAGGCACCGGUCUUGAAAACCGGCAGGGCGCGAGCCCUCGGGGGUUCGAAUCCCUCCCCCUCCG
rnacentral:tRNA from 1 species